rnacentral:rRNA from 1 species
CGCCUGUUUUACAAAAACAUGUCUUUUUGAUUAUAUUUUAAAGUCUGGCCUGCCCAAUGAUUAAUUAAAUGGCCGCGGUAUUUUAACCGUGCAAAGGUAGCAUAAUCAUUAGUUUUUUAAUUGAAAGCUGGAAUGAAUGGUUUGACAAGGGGAGUUUUGUCUCAUUCUUUAUUUUUUGAAUUUUAUUUUUGAAUUAAAAAGUUCAAAUUUUUUUGAAAGACGAGAAGACCCUAUAGAGUUUAAUAUUUUUUGGUUAAUAAUUUAUUUAGGAUUUUUCUUUUAUUAAUUAAAAAUUAUUUUGUUGGGGUGAUGGGAAUAAUUUGACAAACUUUUCUUUUAUUUUUAUAUUUAUUUAUAUUUUAUUGAUUCAAUUUUUUUUGAUUAUAAGUUAAAAUUACCUUAGGGAUAACAGCGUA